rnacentral:rRNA from 1 species
CCUACGGGAGACAGCAGUCGAGAAUCAUUCACAAUGGGGGAAACCCUGAUGGUGCGACGCCGCGUGGGGGAAUGAAGGUCUUCGGAUUGUAAACUCCUGUCAUGUGGGAGCAAAUUAAAAAGAUAGUACCACAAGAGGAAGAGACGGCUAACUCUGUGCCAGCAGCCGCGGUAAUACAGAGGUCUCAAGCGUUGUUCGGAAUCACUGGGCGGAAAGCGUGCGUGGACUGUUUCGUAAGUCGGGUGUGAAAGGCGCGGGCUCAACCCGCGGACGGCACAUGAUACUGCGAGACUAGAGUAAUGGAGGGGGAACCGGAAUUCGCGGUGUAGCAGUGAAAUGCGUAGAUAUCGAGAGGAACACUCGUGGCGAAGGCAGGUUCCUGGACAUUAACUGACGCUGAUGCACGAAGGCCAGGGGAGCGAAAGGGAUUAGAUACCCCUGUAGUC